CUGCAGUCCCAGGUGUGAGUGGACAGCUACUCCGCAUUUGAGAGAGAGAGACAUCAAACCAUCAUGAGAGACUUCUAAGGAGGUGUUCAAAGUCCAGUCCAGCAACUGUUAGCUCCUCUUCCUCAUCAAGGGUAUGGAAGGGUUGGAGUCUUAAAGAUCUUUUUUUGGAGAGGGCUCUUAGUGUGUUUUGAGUCUCCCCUCCCCUAGUGACAUGGGACAGGCAUAAAGAGGGAGCUUUUCUCCCUUCUCAAGUUCAGGGAGAGGAGCUUCGGUGGACCCCCAUGGAGAGCAAGAUAUGCUUCCCUUGUGGAUGAAGUCUGCUUAUUCCUGAAAACUAUCUACUUGGCUGAAGACUAGGGCCACUGGCUGUGACUGUGGGGAGAAGAGAGGUAGUUACUGUGGCAGUAACCUCCUCAGAAAUUGGAAUUUUAAUGCUAUUUGACCAGACCAUUGCACUUGCUCAUCCAGAGUUUAUCUAGUUACGGAUGCAGGCGUACUUCCUCUAGCCUGGACGACGUCAGACAAGGAGGAGUCAGAAGAGGGCUGCCUUGAAUUUUGCCCAGGAGAGUCACAAGAGAAGGAUGCCCAGGUGUUACUUCAAUUGCAUAGAGGCUGCGGGGACAGCAGAAAGUGGUCAGCUGUUACCACGUCAAGGGAACUACAAGCAAGAGAUCCAGUGAUGGUGGGAUGCAAAGGGGCUUCAAAGAAUUGACAAAAUUAUAUGACCAUGACCUGGAGGAGCAGAGGAGGCCACCAGCCCAAAAUAGGACCAACUGCCAGCAAAGAUCAGCAGUUGAGGAGGAGAGAUCUUUAACUGCAAAUAAAGUAAAGAUUUCUCAGUGUGGCCAGAUGGUAUUUAAAGAGCCUAAUGAGAAAGAUGCCUUGGCUCCAAGUGGCAAUGUCAAAAGACACAUCGCAGCUGCCCAGUCUCAGAGGUCUGGAAUGAGACCGACACUCCCAAUUACUGCCCAGUGUCGCGUUGUCACUACUGCCUUCUCAGCAUCCUGCCUCCUCAAGCAGUAUUCACGCCUCUCUUCAUCUGUUCAAACGCAUUCAUCCUGUCUGACAUUCGCCCGGUUCCUGCAGUGUCUCCAGGCUCAGGGUACAGCAUGUGCACACUUCAACCUUGGAUGCAAGAGCACAGAUUCUAUCAGUCUUGAUGUAAUGUGCCACAAAUUGAAAAAUUAAACCUCUUCAUGGAGAGAAAAAAGGAGCAGCCUAAGAAUAACAUGCAAGGCCAAAGGAGAUCUCAAAGGCAUUGUCUGGGGUGAGCAGUUUUUGCUUACUUUUCUAUGAUAUGGAAUAUAGAGUGCAGAAUCCCUGAAAUUUCCUCGUUUUUUGUUUUUUUCUCCCCCAACCCAAAGAAGAAUUCAUAGACACCAUAGUGUGCUUCAGCCCCGCAAAGUCAGUGGAGGAUAAAAGUGCUAGUGGUCAAAUGUAUUUUGAUUUUUUAGGUGUUGGUGCUUAACUUCAGUGCAAUAGUAGCCUUCCUUUUUCCUCUUCUUGACAUGACCACAUAGGUAAUUUUCAACCAGCUUCUUUUUCACACCUUCUUUCCACUAUUUAACAUUGUUAUAUAUAUAAACUUUAUAUAUAUGAGUUUAUUAUAUAUAUAGUCCAAUGAAAUGUAUAUGAUAUAUAUAAGUAUAUACUAUAUCUAUAAUGUGUAUAUUCCUUUUGGAAUUUUAACUUCCACGUUUUUCUCUUAUUUACCCUUACACAUUCAUAAAUCAAGAUCCCCAGUCUUGCAGUCUUACACUUACUACACUCAAUAUAUCUCCCUUCCACUGUACAUCUCAAAUCACGUUUUUAAUUUUUUUAGGAAGACACUAUAUUACACAAAAUAAAUACUAUUUUUUCUUCA
rnacentral:lncRNA from 1 species